GCCCUCCCACAGAAAGCCCAAACACGUGACAAAUUGCGUAAAGCCGAUUGAAUAUCCCCAAUCAUAAAUACCGAUAUACACCAUCAUACAUACAAAUUCGAUCAUCACUACACUCUUCAUACGUACGAUCAAUUUCCGGAAUUCUCAUCAGUUUCCUCUACACCAUUUUCCUCACUUUUAUCACUGUAAGUUACAUUCUGCUAAUCUGAUUGUUGUUGUAUAAUGCAGUUCAUAUACACUGCAUUUCUUAAUCUGAGUACUUGCUUUAAGAAAAAUUACUGGGAAUUUAUAGGAUCUGUAGUAAAAUUGUGAUAGUUAUUGUUGUUGAUUGCAAUUUACGUAUAUUGUGAGUUUCCUAAUCUGUCGUGAUUGAUGUGGUAAAGUGAGGUAUUAUGUAAUAUUGUGUUAAGAUGACCUACAGAGUUUUAGGGUUUCGUGAAAUUCUGAUUGUUAUAGAUGUGGAUUGUGAUAGAGUAUUUAGGGUUUCGUGAAAUUGAGAUUGUUAUAAUUGUUGAUUGUCUAAUACUUUUACCAACAGUUUAUCUUAAUAUGAGCUCAAUACCGACAGACCGUCGACUUCUAGUUUUCAUUGAGGUGAAUUCUGAUUGUUGAUUGUGCUGUAAUCUCUGCUGCACUUUUACAUACAAAGGAAUGGAUUGUACAUUUGAUGUAAAUCUCUGCUGCAUUUUUACAUGGAUUGUACAUUUGCUGAGUAAGGAAUGGAUAUACACAUUUACUAACAGUUUAUCUUAGUAAGUGCUCAAUGGUGACCGACUGUCAGCUUGUGAAAUUCUGACUGUUGAUUGCGGUGUAAUCUGUCGGCUGCACUUUUACCUACAAAGAGAUUAAUAGCCAAUGAUUAUAACUAAAAGCAAAUUCACAAUCCAAAAUUCUGUACAUAAAGAGGAGAUACGGACAUAAAUGAUCAUUUUAAAGAUUGAGAUGACUCUUUCCUUCAUUUUCCAGCAGUAGACAUUAGGCAGAGAGAGCAUAGAGGCACCCUCAUAUAAACAGAGUUCAGAAAAGUAGAGAACGUAAUGCCCUUUAUUUACGGGUCAUAUACUCCAAUUUCAACUACUAAUAUCAAGCUCCUUAGAUCCCCAUCACAAGUAAUAAAACCUAGAACCGAUAAGCAGUACAAGUAAUCUCUAUUAAUAGAUCAACAAAAUGGAUAAGCACUAAAGUAAUACUUCAAGCAUUUCAGUGUGACAGAAUUCAUAACAUUACACCCAGACAUAAUAAUAGCAAAAGGUGGUUCAAGUCACUUAGUUAGGACAAAGCAAACAGCGCAAAAGCAAGCUAAAAAAAAAAAAGGAAUACCUCCAAAGUCUGUCCUGUCCACCUUAAGGAGAAAGGUAUCUUUAUUUCUUUCAGAUCUUUGUUUGACAUGUUCCUACAGAUGCCAUGACACUGUAUAUUGCAGAUGCCUAGGCCUAAGAGGGGAUUUAAUCAGAAUGGGAAGAAUAAUAAGAGUGUCAAAAAUAAGCCAGCAGAAGUGACACCAGAACCAAAAGAUGAAUGGCUAUGUAACCUGUGCAACAAGAUGAUAAGUGCCAAGAUAACAACAGUAAAUGUACACAGAGAUGCAUGCAGAAAAAUCAAGGUGAGCAUUCAGUGUAUAUUGAUGCAUUAAAGUAUCUGAAUGAUUAGUGUACUAAUGAAUUCAAAUUUUGAAUCAGGAUGCCCAAGAUAGGGCGGCAGCAAAUGCAAGGGCAAAUGCAAGAGGGGGACUUCACUAAGGGGGAAGCUGCUAAGGAUUUGUUUGCAUGAAAUAUCAAAAUCCGUAUGUGAAAAUGUAUGAUAUUUUGAAAUAUAAAUCUUUGUAUGUGAUAAUUGGCUUUGCCAAAAGGGGAUUUACAAUGAUUUGAGACUCAAGGUUCAUUGUGUCUGUUUGAUACAGGACAUAAAUGUUUUGAGAUAUUUUGUUUGUAUGUUUCAGAAAUUUUGAUAAAGGAGUUGACAGAUUGUUAAGACUAAUACCUUUAAUGUAACAGAUUGUUAAGUGUGAAGCAUUUACUUGGUCUGUAUUUUGGUAUGUGAUAUUGGGCUUUGCCAUAAGGGGAUUUACAGAGAUUUGAGACUCAAGUUCCAUUGAGACUCAAGGUACUUUGUAUCUGUUUGAUCCAACACAUAGAUUUGAUAUUUGGCUUUGCCAUAAGGGGAUUUACAGAGAUUUGAGACUCAAGGUACUUUGUAUCUGUUUCAUCCAGGAUAUAGAUCCUUGAAUGUUUGAGAUAUCUUGCUUGUAUUUUUGAGAUAUAGAAAAAUUGACAGAUUGUUUAGUGUGAUACCUUCACUUAGCUAAUUAUUCAUUGACAGAUUUUUAAAUGUGAUACAUUUACUUACAGUGACAGAUUGUUUAGUGUAAUACCUUCAGAUUGAUUAAUGUGAUACCUUUACUGAUAUUUUGAAGACAGAUUGUUUACUUGUUUUCUGUACACAUUUACUUAGACGUUUGUUCACUUAGAAGUUUGCUGUUAGAGUUCAGUUAGACGUUUACUCCAUAAGUUCACUUAGCCGCUUACUGUUAGAGUUCAGUUAGACACUUACUCCAUAAGUUCACUUAGACGCUUACUCCAUAAGUUUACUUAGAAGUUUGCAGACUUAGAGUUCACUUAGAAGUUCUGACUUAGACAUUUGCUGCAUCGGCUCACUUAGACGCUUGCUGUUAGAAUUCACUUGGACGCUUGCUGUUAGAAUUCACUUACACGCUUACUGUAAGAGUUCACUUAGACGCCUACUGUUAGAGUUCACUUAGACGCUUACUGUUAAGAGUUCACUUAGACGCUUACUGUUAGAGUUCACUUAGACGCUUACUGUUAGAGUUCACUUAGACACUUACUCCAUAAGUUUACUUAGACGCUGACUUAAGAGUUUACUUAGAAGUUUGCUGACUAAAGAGUUCACUUAGAAGUUUGCUGACUUAGACGUUUAUUGUAAGUAUGCUGACUUAGACAUUUAUUGUAAGAGUGCACUAAGAAGUUUACUGACUUGGACGUUUGCUGCAUAGGCUCACUUAGAUGUUUGCUGCAUCGGCUCACUUAGAAGCAUAGGCUCACUUAGACACUUACUUUUAUAGUUCACUUAGACGCUAGCUGUUAGAGUCACUUAGAAGCUUACUCCAUAAGUUCACUCAGACACUUACUGUUAGAGUUCAGUUAGACGCUUACUCCAUAAGUUCACUUGGAAGUUUUCUGACUUAGAGUUUAAUUAGAAGUUUGCUGACUUAGAGUUUAAUUAGAAGUUUGCUGACAUAGAGUUUACUUGGAAGUUUGCUGACUUAGAGUUCACUUAGAAGUUUGCUAACUUAGACGUUUAUUGUAAGAGUGCACUAACUAGUUCACUGACUUAGACGUUUGCUGCAUAGGCUCACUUAGACGCUUGCUGCAUAGGCUCGCUUAGACGCUUGCUGCAUAGGCUCGCUUAGACGUUUGCUGCAUCGGCUCACUUAGACGCAUAGGCUCACUUAACGCUUAGGCUCACUUAGACGCUUGCUGUUAGAGUUCACUUAGACGCUUACUCCGUAAGUUUACUUCAUAAGUUCACUUAGACGCUUUCUGUUAGAGUUCACUUAGACGCUUACUCCGUAAGUUUACUAAGACGCUUACUCCGUAAGUUCACUUAGACGCUUACUCCAUAAGUUCACUUAGACGCUUAAUCCAUAAGUUCACUUAGACGCUUAAUCCAUAAGUUCACUUAGGCGCUUGAUCCAUAAGUUCACUUAGACGCUUAAUCCAUAAGUUCACUUAGACGCUUAAUCCAUAAGUUCACUUAGACGCUUGAUCCAUUAAGUUCACUUAGACGCUUUAAUCCAUAAGUUCACUUAGACGCUUAAUCCAUAAGUUCACUUAGACGCUUAAUCCAUAAGUUCACUUAGACGCUUACUCCAUAAGUUCACUUAGACGCUUAAUCCAUAAGUUCACUUAGACGUUUACAUAUACUUAGACAUUUAAUGUAUACAUUUACUUAUAAUAAUGUUUACUGAUCAAGACUUAUAUUGACAGAAUGUUUACUGUAUACGUCUACAGAUUGUGUGCUGUAUACAAACACCUAAAUGUUUAAAUAGAUGAUUUAUACAUGAUAUGUUUCCUUAAAUGUUUAAAUAGAUGAUUCAAACGUGAUAUGUUUACUUAGUGAUUUACUGUGAUGAUUUAAUGUAAUAAUUUGAUGAUUAUCGGACUUAAUAAUUUGAUGAUUCUACUGUGUGACUUAAGUACUAACUACUAAGGACUUAAUAGUUUGAUGAUUCUAUCAUGUGACUUAAGUACUAAGGACUUAAUAAUUUGAUGAUUCUACUGUGUGACUUAAGUAGUUUAUGUGAGUUCAUAAUGUGACCAAUAAAUAAUUAAACUUAGAUUUAUAUAUAAAUUUACUUCUAAAAACUAAUAAACAAAAACAGUUUAUAAACAUUGUUUUGAAAAUCACAAUUCAUUAAUUACCUAAUAACCUAAUAAUGUAUAUAAAUUAAAUCUUAUCAAGUUCAAUAAAUAAAAUAUUUUUUAAAAGGGACAUCGAGUUAGUUAUUGAGAGUAAAAGCAUAUUGUUAGGAUUAAAAACACAAAAAUUGAUAAUCAAGAAUGAAAUCCAAGAAUAAGGUAGUAAUGAAUCACAACAAAAAUAACUUGAUUUAUCAAAAAAAAGCCAAAAUUUUUGAUAAACAAGGAGAUCCUGGACAAAUAAGAAGGAGAUCUAAGAAUGAACAAUCGAUACAAAAACAACUAGAUCCAAUAAUGAACACUUAGAAUUUAUAAGUCGACAGAAAAAUAAUAACUUGAUUUAUGAUUAAAAACAAAAAAAAAAAUCAAUAAACAAGAAAGGAGAUCAAAGAACUAACGUUUAGAAUUAAUAAAUCGAAAGAAAAAUAACAUGAUUAAUGAUAAAAACAAAGAAUAAACAUGUUUAAACCACAAAAAAGAAUGGAAAUUGUAGAUUGACAAUUGACAUACCGUGUAUUCUUCUUGAUUAUUCUUGAAAAACAAAAUUUUGAUAUUCUUCGAUCAAGAUCUAUUUUUUUUUCUUCAUUAUUCUUGAAAAACAAAGAAAUCAAAAUAAUCUUGAUGUUCUUCGAUCUAGAUCUAUUUUCUUCUUGAUUAUUCUUAGAAAAAAACAAAGAAAUCAAAAUGAUUUUGAUGUUCUUCGAUCUAGAUCUAUUUUUUUGAUUGGGAGAAAAAAGAAAAAUAUUUUUUUGUGAGAGAGAAAAAAGAGCAAGAUGAAGAGAUUAGGUUACAAAGUACAAGAAGUAGUCUGCGG
rnacentral:lncRNA from 1 species